rnacentral:rRNA from 1 species
UACGUAGGGUGCGAGCGUUAAUCGGAAUUACUGGGCGUAAAGCGUGCGCAGGCGGUUUUGUAAGUCAGAUGUGAAAUCCCCGAGCUCAACUUGGGAACUGCGUUUGAAACUACAAGACUAGAAUAUGUCGAGAGGGGGGUAGAAUUCCACGUGUAGCAGUGAAAUGCGUAGAGAUGUGGAGGAACACCGAUGGCGGAAGGCAGCCCCCUGGGUUAACACUGACGCUCAGGCACGAAAGCGUGGGGAGCAAACAGG